GUUGCUCUCCUAAUAAUGAGCAUGCCAAUAUUUGUUAUGUUCUCUCUGACCUUUUCUUCUUUUUAAGCUCUUAGCUUUUUGCUCAUCGUAUUUUGAUUUUUACAUGUUAAAUCGUUUUGAUGUUACGACUUUUAUAAGGAAGGGCACACAGUGGAGGCCGUUCGUAUGGUGGCAUGGUACUUUGUGAUCCUGCUACAAAGCCAAGAUCAUUUCAAGAAUAGAGACUACCAUAGAAAUUAUAUGACAACCUUUAAAUGAUCAUGAAAAACAUGUUUGAAAAAUAUUUAUUCUCACCAGAACUUCUUAAUAUCAUUAUAGCAGAGGAUCCGUCCCUGCCUAUUUUGGGGCAAUGAGGUACCGAACUAUUUCUAGAUUGUUGGGGUUUUCUUGACAAACGUUUACUUGUGGAUAUAAAAAGUACAUGAUGGAUCUUUAAUCAUAAAUACAUGUUAAUCUGGAAAAAUUUACAAAAUAUUUGAGGGGGAAUUUCAAGAACACACAGAAUUGGCUAUUUUAUUUUUUGCGAGUUUUUUCCUUCUAUUGAGUUUUUUCUGUAUCAAAAUAUUCAAUUUGAAUGCAUAUAUUCCUUCCCAUUAAUUUUACCGCAUGAAUCGCUUGAGAAAUUAAUGAUUAUAUAUUUUGAAUUUGAUAUGAAAUUCGCUAUUAACUUGUGAAUAUAUUUGUAAGACUCUUCUUUUUACUCUCUAUUUUGGAAAGUAGUUGUAGCAAACGGUUAGCUUACAAUCAGUAUAGAAUAUUUCCUAAAUUUUAGAAAGAGAACAAAUGAUGAAGAUGCAUUAAGAAAAAAUCAUUGAUGAUUUUUGGUUUUUAAUGGUAGGGUUAAAAAUUCAAAUAAUUUUUUAAAUUAGGGUUUUCCUAAUAUGCAUAUGUACAAAAUAUUUGGUAAACUUUACGAAGAUAACAAAUGUUGGAGAUGCGUUAAGAAAAAUUUACAGAUGAUUUUUAUUUUUGAAUGGUAGGGCUAAAAAAACAAAUUUUAUUUUAAAUUAGGGGUUUUCUUACAGAUGAUUUUUAUUUUUGAAUGGUACGACUAAAAAAUCAAAAUUAUUUUUUAAAUUAGGGUUUUUCUAACAUGCAGAUGUACAGAAUAUUUACAUAAUAUUUGGUAAAUGUUAGGAAGAUAACAAAUGUUGGAGACGCAUCAAGAAAAAUUUGUGGAUGAUAUUUAUUUUUGAAUGGUAGGGUUAAAAAAAUUAGGGUUUUUCUAACAUGCAGAUGCCUUAAAAAUGAAAACUUGAUCUGCAUUUGUGCCAAGAGAUGAAUGGGCUAAGGCUUGUGGAUGUCUCUCAUCCUUGCUCCAUAGCCAGCAGGAGGGAAAAUGUAGAGUCUGUGUUCGUAUAUUUUAUCUCAUAGCGUAUAAGUUAUUAAUGCUAUACUUAGGAUGCUUUAGAAAUAGAUUGAGCGGUAUGUACUAUAAAGAGUUGCAGAUUUUAAUUUUGCCAGAUGUCCUCUUUGCUAUAUUUCUUGCAGAUUGAUAGAGAGACCAUUUACUGAGAAUGCAAUUUUAUGUUGUUAAAUAUUAUACUUCUUACUAAUUGUCUGACAACAGGAUGAAUAAAACUUGCAAAAAAAAAAAAAAAUAGCCAAUUCGGUUUGCUCUUGAAAAUUAACUGUUCCAUUUACCUGUGAGGUUCUGUAUUUAAACCUCAAGCUUCAUGACACUUACUAAAUGCAAGAAUAAAGAUCCAUUACGUAUUUCUGAUGUUUGUCAAGAUCAAUUAAGAAGUUAGAAAUGAUUUGGAACCGUUAUUCUCCCAAAAUAAUUGGUGAGGGAUAAUAGAUAGGUGGAAAGAUCUCUGUUGUAAUGGUUUCCAUCAAUUUGACAACAAAUGAUCCUCUGGAUAAAGCUUUGAUAAUGCUUUGAUAACUUUACCUUCCUUCUAUCAAUAGUUGUCAUAUACUUCCAUUAUAUCCCAGCUGCCAAUUUUCUUGUUUCUCUCAUAUUAGAGAUUAUGCUGAUUUCUUGUUUCUCUCAUAUUUAGAGAUUUUGGUCAGCAUAGAGAUCUUCCACAGCAUGUUUUCCAUGGUCAUUUAAAAGAUUAUCAUAUUAAAGUCUGUAGUAGUCUAUAUUCUAUGAAAUAAUCUUAGCUUUAUACCAGAAUCACAAAGUACCACCAUCUAAGUGACAACUGUAUACCCUUUCUUGAAUUUCAUGUUGCACUCUUGCCUGCAAAUUAAGAGACCUAAAAGCAUAACGCAAUUAUUUGUUAUCCUUAAAAUUAAGAGGAUAAUAUUUGAAUGCUUUUAUUUUUUUCUUGUGAUUGUACUGCUUGAAGUGUUUAAAAAAUUAAUGAUUAGAUAUUUUGAGUUUUUGACAUGAAAUUUGCCACUAACUGAUCAAAUGGCUUAGAUGAAGGGAGAAGCGAGGAAUUCUUUACGGGAAAUUUUUUUGUAAGACUCCUUUUAAUUCCUGACAAUAUAACUAUUGCUCCAAGGCAGUUUGUGUUUUGUAAUUCUGAAUUUUAUUGUGUUAAAUUCUGCUGCAACGUCUGAUACAUGGAAACUGAUCAAAUUUUAACAGUUAAGACAAUUAAAAUCCGAUUUUGAUAAAUUCUAGUUGGUAGAGAAAUUGGUUCUCGCAGAUUUUAAAGCAAGAGAAGACACAAGUAUUUAGGUUUUUACAUUUUAAACAGAGCAAAUUUGCAGAAUAUGUAUGUAUUGACAGGUAGGCGAGAAGCUGGUGAGCUAGUGGCCAUUGAACAGAAAAAGGCUUAAUCUCUAAGGUCUGCAUGUGCACAAGCAUUUUUAAGACACAGCUGGAGUGUGUCAUUUCUCAGUGCUAUGCUUAAACAGAGCUUUUAAACAAGCCAGCCGAGCUGAUAAAAAUUGAUGAGCACUUGUUACAGCAAAAAACAGUCAAAAAUAUGGUUAAUAUGAAGUUUAUUCUGCCUAUGAUUUUGUCUACUUGCCCAUUGAUAUCAAGUGAAUGAUGAUACUUCUACCUCAUGUUCCAUUGAAACAAACAAAUCUCACACUUAUGUAUAAUCUAUGUGAAUAUUUUUUGUGGUCUGUUAAUAGAAACCGGUAUAAUCUGGGUUACUGGUUUGUAAACUUUACCAAUCUUCAAGGGGCAUUGAAGUUCUACAA